rnacentral:rRNA from 1 species
UACGUAGGGGGCGAGCGUUGUCCGGAAUUAUUGGGCGUAAAGGGCGCGCAGGCGGUCCUUUAAGUCUGGCGUAUAAGCGCGGGGCUCAACCCCGUAGAUGCGCUGGAAACUGGGGGACUUGAGUGCGGGAGAGGAAGGCGGAAUUCCCGGUGUAGCGGUGAAAUGCGUAGAGAUCGGGAGGAACACCAGUGGCGAAGGCGGCCUUCUGGACCGUAACUGACGCUGAGGCGCGAAAGCGUGGGGAGCAAACAGG